rnacentral:rRNA from 1 species
UACGGAGGGUGCAUGCGUUAAUCGGAAUCACUGGGCGUAAAGCGCUCGUAGGCUGUUUGGUAAGUCAGAUGUGAAAGCCCUCGGCUUAACCGGGGAACUGCAUUUGAUACUGCCAGACUUGAGUGUCGGAGAGGGUGGCGGAAUUCCGGGUGUAGGAGUGAAAUCCGUAGAUAUCCGGAGGAACACCAGUGGCGAAGGCGGCCACCUGGACGACAACUGACGCUGAGGAGCGAAAGCGUGGGGAGC